AAAUACAACUUUCAACAACGGAUCUCUUGGCUCUUGCAUCGAUGAAGAACGCAGUGAAAUGCGAUAAGUAAUGUGAAUUGCAGAAUUCAGUGAAUCAUCGAAUCUUUGAACGCAUCUUGCGCUCCUUGGUAUUCUGAGGAGCAUGCCUGUUUGAGUGUCA
rnacentral:rRNA from 1 species